UACGUAGGGCGCAAGCGUUGUCCGGAAUUAUUGGGCGUAAAGCGCACGUAGGUGGUCUGUUAUGUCAGAUGUGAAAGCCCUCGGCUUAACUGAGGAAGUGCACCUGAAACUGGCAGGCUUGAGUACGAAAGAGGGUCGCGGAAUUCCCGGUGUAGAGGUGAAAUUCGUAGAUAUCGGGAGGAACACCAGUGGCGAAGGCGGCGAUCUGGGAAGAUACUGACGCUGAGGUGCGAAAGCGUGGGAGCAAACAGG
rnacentral:rRNA from 1 species